UACGUAGGGUGCGAGCGUUAAUCGGAAUUACUGGGCGUAAAGCGUGCGCAAGCGGUUCGUUGUGUCGGCGGUGAAAGCCCCGGGCUUAACCUGGGAAUGGCCGUUGAAACUGGCGAACUGGAGUGUGGCAGAGGGGGGUGGAAUUCCGCGUGUAGCAGUGAAAUGCGUAGAGAUGCGGAGGAACACCGAUGGCGAAGGCAGCCCCCUGGGCUGACACUGACGCUCAGGCACGAAAGCGUGGGGAGCAAACAGG
rnacentral:rRNA from 1 species